rnacentral:rRNA from 1 species
UACGGAGGGGGCAAGCGUUGUUCGGAAUUACUGGGCGUAAAGGGUGCGCAGCGGUGGCCCGCGUGGGCGGUGAAGCUCCUGGCUCAACUGGGAGAGGGCCGUCCAGACGGGGUCACUUGAGGGGCGGAGAGGAGACUGGAAUUCAUGGUGUAGCAGUGAAAUGCGUAGAGAUCAUGAGGAAGACCAGUGGCGAAGGCGGGUCUCUGGACAGUUCCUGACACUGAGGCACGAAGGCCAGGGGAGCAAACGGG